rnacentral:tRNA from 1 species
UCCUCAUAGCUCAGUUGGUAAAGAAUCUGACUGCAAAGCAGGAGACCCUGGUUCGAUUCCUGGGUCAGGAA